rnacentral:rRNA from 1 species
AUUGAACGCUGGCGGCAGGCCUAACACAUGCAAGUCGAGCGGAAGCAGAGUGCUUGCUCCUGCUUUCGGGGGGGGAGGGGCGGGUAAUGCCUAGGAACAUGGCUGUCUGUGGGGGCUAACGUCCGAACGCGGGCGAUCAUACCGCAAUAGCCCAGAGGGCGAACGGGGGGGAGCAUGGGAUCUCACGACCUCAGGUGAGCCAAGGAGGCGAUGUCGGAUUAGCGAGUUGGUGGGGUAAAGGCCCACCAAGGCGACGAUCCGUAGCUGGUCUGAGAGGAUGAUCAGCCACACUGGAACUGAGACACGGUCCAGACUCCUACGGGAGGCAGCAGUGGGGAAUAUUGGACAAUGGGCGAAAGCCUGAUCCAGCCAUGCCGCGUGUGUGAAGAAGGUCUUCGGAUUGUAAAGCCCUUUUAUUUGGGAAGAAGAGCAGUAGGUUAAUACCUUGCUGUUUUGACGUUACCAACAGAAUAAGCACCGGCUAACUUCGUG